CACCCAGGUAAACCCCAAAUCCUGGACUGGUAGGGGGUCCCGAGGACUAACGUUGAGAACCCCUGCUUUAGAUACUCCUGCCAUUACGAGGUUUAUGAAAUAACGGUACAGAGUUAUUCACGAAGCAGUAAGCGUGUGGCAUUUUAGGGUAAAAUAGGCCAUGCAUAGUUGUACGGCUGUCAGUGCGUUGUCCUCCGUAAUGCACAGUGUCAUCACAUUUAAUUAGUUAGUUUUAAUGCAAUGUAGAUUAUCUGUCUGAGCGGGCAUGUUGGUUCCUGUGACAGACCCAUCUGUAUGGACUAAAAGCACUGUGUUCGUCUGUUUUGCCGUUUGCAUGAAUUCCCCCAUUCGUAUGCUUUGUUUAAGGGAAUGUCUUUUUUUUGUCGAACGGAACUACCGAACGGACGGCCACCCAGAAGAGAAGUGUGCUGCUGGUUAACCUAUUGAUCCCAAUUAGAACGUUGCGGUUAACCACAGACACUUCUCAAUUAAAACCGAAUACCGGGUGGUCGUCGUUCGUAUGUCG